rnacentral:misc_RNA from 1 species
AAGAGUCAUACGUGCAGCUGAGUUCGCUUGGUUGCCGUAACACUCCACCCUUUGUUUACAUUACCUUUGUUGCUUUGGCAGGCCCGCUCUCGGGCCACCGGCUUCGGCUGGUCAGUGUCUGCCAGAGGACCUAAAACUCAUGUUAAUAAUAUUGUCUGAGUACUAUAUAAUAGUUA